UGAUAUGAACCGUUAUAACCGGCGAUACCCGAAUGGGGAAACCCAGUGUGAUUCGUCACACUAUCAUUAACUGAAUCCAUAGGUUAAUGAGGCGAACCGGGGGAACUGAAACAUCUAAGUACCCCGAGGAAAAGAAAUCAACCGAGAUUCCCCCAGUAGCGGCGAGCGAACGGGGAGGAGCCCAGAGCCUGAAUCAGCAUGUGUGUUAGUGGAAGCGUCUGGAAAGGCGCGCGAUACAGGGUGACAGCCCCGUACACAAAAGCGCAUGUGCUGUGAGCUCGAUGAGUAGGGCGGGACACGUGGUAUCCUGUCUGAAUAUGGGGGGACCAUCCUCCAAGGCUAAAUACUCCUGACUGACCGAUAGUGAACCAGUACCGUGAGGGAAAGGCGAAAAGAACCCCGGCGAGGGGAGUGAAAAAGAACCUGAAACCGUGUACGUACAAGCAGUGGGAGCACAGGUUUACCUGUGUGACUGCGUACCUUUUGUAUAAUGGGUCAGCGACUUAUAUUCUGUAGCAAGGUUAACCGAAUAGGGGAGCCGGAGGGAAACCGAGUCUUAAUUGGGCGUUAAGUUGCAGGGUAUAGACCCGAAACCCGGUGAUCUAGCCAUGGGCAGGUUGAAGGUUGGGUAACACUAACUGGAGGACCGAACCGACUAAUGUUGAAAAAUUAGCGGAUGACCUGUGGCUGGGGGUGAAAGGCCAAUCAAACCGGGAGAUAGCUGGUUCUCCCCGAAAGCUAUUUAGGUAGCGCCUCGUGAAUUCAUCUCCGGGGGUAGAGCACUGUUUCGGCUAGGGGGCCAUCCCGGCUUACCAACCCGAUGCAAACUGCGAAUACCGGAGAAUGUUAUCACGGGAGACACACGGCGGGUGCUAACGUCCGUCGUGAAGAGGGAAACAACCCAGACCGCCAGCUAAGGUCCCAAAGUCAUGGUUAAGUGGGAAACGAUGUGGGAAGGCCCAGACAGCCAGGAUGUUGGCUUAGAAGCAGCCAUCAUUUAAAGAAAGCGUAAUAGCUCACUGGUCGAGUCGGCCUGCGCGGAAGAUGUAACGGGGCUAAACCAUGCACCGAAGCUGCGGCAGCGACACUGUGUGUUGUUGGGUAGGGGAGCGUUCUGUAAGCCUGCGAAGGUGGCCUGUGAGGGUUGCUGGAGGUAUCAGAAGUGCGAAUGCUGACAUAAGUAACGAUAAAGCGGGUGAAAAGCCCGCUCGCCGGAAGACCAAGGGUUCCUGUCCAACGUUAAUCGGGGCAGGGUGAGUCGACCCCUAAGGCGAGGCCGAAAGGCGUAGUCGAUGGGAAACGGGUUAAUAUUCCCGUACUUGGUGUUACUGCGAAGGGGGGACGGAGAAGGCUAUGUUGGCCGGGCGACGGUUGUCCCGGUUUAAGCGUGUAGGUGUGUGUUCCAGGUAAAUCCGGUUCACUUUAACACUGAGGCGUGACGACGAGGCACUACGGUGCUGAAGCAACAAAUGCCCUGCUUCCAGGAAAAGCCUCUAAGCAUCAGGUAACAUCAAAUCGUACCCCAAACCGACACAGGUGGUCAGGUAGAGAAUACCAAGGCGCUUGAGAGAACUCGGGUGAAGGAACUAGGCAAAAUGGUGCCGUAACUUCGGGAGAAGGCACGCUGACACGUAGGUGAAGUGAUUUACUCAUGGAGCUGAAGUCAGUCGAAGAUACCAGCUGGCUGCAACUGUUUAUUAAAAACACAGCACUGUGCAAACACGAAAGUGGACGUAUACGGUGUGACGCCUGCCCGGUGCCGGAAGGUUAAUUGAUGGGGUCAGCGCAAGCGAAGCUCCUGAUCGAAGCCCCGGUAAACGGCGGCCGUAACUAUAACGGUCCUAAGGUAGCGAAAUUCCUUGUCGGGUAAGUUCCGACCUGCACGAAUGGCGUAAUGAUGGCCAGGCUGUCUCCACCCGAGACUCAGUGAAAUUGAACUCGCUGUGAAGAUGCAGUGUACCCGCGGCAAGACGGAAAGACCCCGUGAACCUUUACUAUAGCUUGACACUGAACAUUGAGCCUUGAUGUGUAGGAUAGGUGGGAGGCUUUGAAGUGUGGACGCCAGUCUGCAUGGAGCCGACCUUGAAAUACCACCCUUUAAUGUUUGAUGUUCUAACGUGGACCCGUUACCCGGGUUGCGGACAGUGUCUGGUGGGUAGUUUGACUGGGGCGGUCUCCUCCUAAAGAGUAACGGAGGAGCACGAAGGUUGGCUAAUCCUGGUCGGACAUCAGGAGGUUAGUGCAAUGGCAUAAGCCAGCUUGACUGCGAGCGUGACGGCGCGAGCAGGUGCGAAAGCAGGUCAUAGUGAUCCGGUGGUUCUGAAUGGAAGGGCCAUCGCUCAACGGAUAAAAGGUACUCCGGGGAUAACAGGCUGAUACCGCCCAAGAGUUCAUAUCGACGGCGGUGUUUGGCACCUCGAUGUCGGCUCAUCACAUCCUGGGGCUGAAGUAGGUCCCAAGGGUAUGGCUGUUCGCCAUUUAAAGUGGUACGCGAGCUGGGUUUAGAACGUCGUGAGACAGUUCGGUCCCUAUCUGCCGUGGGCGCUGGAGAACUGAGGGGGGCUGCUCCUAGUACGAGAGGACCGGAGUGGACGCAUCACUGGUGUUCGGGUUGUCAUGCCAAUGGCACUGCCCGGUAGCUAAAUGCGGAAGAGAUAAGUGCUGAAAGCAUCUAAGCACGAAACUUGCCCCGAGAUGAGUUCUCCCUGAGACUUAGAGUCUCCUGAAGGAACGUUGAAGACGACGACGUUGAUAGGCCGGGUGUGUAAGCGCAGCGAUGCGUUGAGCUAACCGGUACUAAUGAACCGUGAGGCUUAACCUUACAACGCCGAAG
rnacentral:rRNA from 1 species